UACGAAGGGGGCUAGCGUUGUUCGGAAUUACUGGGCGUAAAGGGCGCGUAGGCGGUUCGACAAGUUGGAUGUGAAAGCCCAGGGCUCAACCCUGGAAUUGCAUUCAAGACUGUCUUACUUGAAUUCGGUAGAGGUGAGUGGAAUUCCCAGUGUAGAGGUGAAAUUCGUAGAGAUUGGGAAGAACACCGGUGGCGAAGGCGGCUCACUGGACCGACAUUGACGCUGAGGCGCGAAAGCGUGGGGAUCAAACAGG
rnacentral:rRNA from 1 species